rnacentral:rRNA from 1 species
AGUGAACGCUGGCGGCGUGCUUAACACAUGCAAGUCGAACGAGAACGGAAUAUAGCUUGCUAUAUUUGUCAGCUAAGUGGCGCACGGGUGAGUAAUAUAUAGAUAACCUGCCCUUAAGAAAGGAAUAACAGUUGGAAACGACUGCUAAUGCCCUAUAUGCCUUUAAUACAUAAGUAUGAAAGGGAAACGCUUUAGUGCUUAAGGAUGGGGCUGUAUGGUAUCAGCUUGUUGGUGAGGUAAUGGCUCACCAAGGCUAUGACGCCUAACUGGUUUGAGAGGAUGAUCAGUCACACUGGAACUGAGACACGGUCCAGACUCCUACGGGAGGCAGCAGUGGGGAAUAUUGCACAACGGACGAAAGUCUGAUGCAGCAACGCCGCGUGGAGGAUGACACAUUUCGGUGCGUAAACUCCUUUUAUAUAGGAAGAUAAUGACGGUACUAUAUGAAUAAGCACCGGCUAACUCCGUGCCAGCCGCCGCAGUAA